GUAAAGAGCUCGUAGGUGGUUUGUCGCGUUGUUCGUGAAAUCUCACGGCUUAACUGUGAGCGUGCGGGCGAUACGGGCAGACUUGAGUACUGCAGGGGAGACUGGAAUUCCUGGUGUAGCGGUGGAAUGCGCAGAUAUCAGGAGGAACACCGGUGGCGAAGGCGGGUCUCUGGGCAGUAACUGACGCUGAGGAGCGAAAGCGUGGGGAGCGAACAGGAUUAGAUACCCUGGUAGUCCACGCCGUAAGCGGUGGGUACUAGGUGUGGGUUUCCUUCCUUGGGAUCCGUGCCGUAGCUAACGCAUUAAGUACCCCGCCUGGGGAGUACGGCCGCAAGGCUAAAACUCAAAGAAAUUGACGGGGGCCCGCACAAGCGGCGGAGCAUGUGGAUUAAUUCGAUGCAACGCGAAGAACCUUACCUGGGUUUGACAUGCACAGGACGCCGGCAGAGAUGUCGGUUCCCUUGUGGCCUGUGUGCAGGUGGUGCAUGGCUGUCGUCAGCUCGUGUCGUGAGAUGUUGGGUUAAGUCCCGCAACGAGCGCAACCCUUGUCUCAUGUUGCCAGCGGGUAAUGCCGGGGACUCGUGAGAGACUGCCGGGGUCAACUCGGAGGAAGGUGGGGAUGACGUCAAGUCAUCAUGCCCCUUAUGUCCAGGGCUUCACACAUGCUACAAUGGCCGGUACAAAGGGCUGCGAUGCCGCGAGGUUAAGCGAAUCCUUUUAAAGCCGGUCUCAGUUCGGAUCGGGGUCUGCAACUCGACCCCGUGAAGUCGGAGUCGCUAGUAAUCGCAGAUCAG
rnacentral:rRNA from 1 species